rnacentral:rRNA from 1 species
UGGCAAGGUCCGGAGCGGACAGAUGGGCGCUUGCUCCCGGAUGUUAGCGGCGGACGGGUGAGUAGCACGUGGGUGACCUGCCUGUAAGACUGGGAUAACUCCGGGAAACCGGAGCUAAUACCGGAUAGUUCCUUGAACCGCAUGGUUCACGGAUGAAAGACGGUUUCUGCUGUCACUUACAGAUGGACCCGCGGCGCAUUAGCUAGUUGGUGAGGUAACGGCUCACCAAGGCGACGAUGCGUAGCCGACCUGAGAGGGUGAUCGGCCACACUGGGACUGAGACACGGCCCAAACUCCUACGGGAGAAUUUUGUAGGGAAUCUUCCGCCCUGGACCAAAGUCUGACGGAGCGCCACCACGUGAGUGAUGAAGGUUUUCGGAUCUUAAAGCUCUGUUGUUAGGGAAGAACAUGUGCCAGAGUAACUGCUUGCACCUUGACAGUACCUAACCAUAAAUCCACGGCUAACUACGUGCCAGCACCCGCGGUGAUACCUAUGUGCCAAGCGUUUGCCGGAAUUAUUGGGCGUAAAGGGCUCGCAGGCGGUAUCUUAAAUCUGAUAUGAAAGCCCCCGGCUCACCCUUGGAGGGUCAUUGCAAACUGGGGAAAC